rnacentral:pre_miRNA from 14 species
CAGUGGCAGCUUGGUUGUCGUAUGCGUGAUGACACGUUCUCGUGUAUUCCAGAAUGACAUCACAUAUAUGGCAGCUAAACUGUUACAGGAAC